GCCCCUCCGGAGCCUGCGCCUGUGGGGGUCCGCGAGCGCAGCCUCCUCCGCAAGGGCCUAGGACCCCCGCCUCAGGGUUUUCGCUUUGGCCUCAGUUUCCACAUCCACAGGCCGGGAGGGAAAUCCCAUUCUGCAGGCGCCUGAGACUGUUCCUCCCCCGAAGGAAAGAGAACUCGAGCCUCAUUUCCCCGUCUGCGGUCUGACUUCCACGGACCCCUUAGGCCUUCCACCCCUCGCGCUGCACUUUCCGCCAAGAUAGCGGGGCGUCAGGCCUGAGAGCCUACACGGGAAAGGGGGCCUGUCGGUCCCUGCCAACCGAGCCCCCAGCCCAGCAGCAGGGCUCCGGGUGAUGUGACGGUGGGCUCCUGGGUCCUGAGAAACAAGAGAAGUGAGGUCCAUGGGGACCACCAGCUCCACAGAUCCUUCUGUUUUUUCUUGGAAACAAGAUUACAGGGAUGUUCUCCCAAAGCAAACCUUAGAUUUUGCGGUGGAACCUGAGUCCAGAUAGGAGGCCUCAACACGGGUGGAAGGUCCCUUCCAGAGACAAAUGAAUCCCUCUAUAUAAACACGUUUCACAAAUAUCCGCAGGAAAUUACUGGAAAAUAUGCACAACCAAAACAAAGAGUCAAUCAAGCAAGAAGGCAUGGCAUCCACAGGACAGUGGGGAGAGCUGCUCAGCACUACCCAGCACAGAGGGGAAGGAAGAAAGGGGUGGAGGAAGGACGGAGCCAAGAGGAAGAACGGAGCAGGGAGGAAAGCAGAGUCAGAGUCCUCCCUGGUACCAGCUCUUCCUGAGCCCCAGGUUUCCUGUGGCACUGGCUCUGUGAGACACCCAACAUCCUUGUAAUAAAUUCCUUGUCCUGCUUAACCAGUUCACGCUGGAUUUCAGUCACAUGCAGCCAAAUUGUUCCCCUCCAUACCUUUGCUCCCCAGUCAGAACCAGCAGCAUCAGUAUCACCUGGGAGCUGGCUAGAAAUGUAGGCUCUUGGGCCUCCCCAGACCUACUCAGCAGAAUCUGCAUUUCCCCAAGAUUCCCAGGUGACUUAUUUGCACAUCAAGGCCUGAGAGGCACUGUCCCAGCAGCCCAACCUGCUGGGUGGAUUAAAGAUGACAUGAAAUCCCUGACCCCAUAGUGAGUACUCUUUGUAAAGUGUUCAGAGGAGGGUGAGGAGGGAACUGGGAGUGUUGGGAGUGACCAUCUCAGGAAGUGUUCCUGGGACCAUGGCAAGUGGUGGCUCUGAACCAAAUUACAAAGACAGACACACACAGUAGAGAAGGGAGAAAGCACAUGUAUACCAGGAAACGGGUUUCAGCUCUGCUCCAGGAACCUGUCAGGUUAGUGAGUCCAGGUGCCGACGUGGGAAUCCGUGAAGAAAACCACGUCUCAGGUGUGGCACUUGGCUGAGUGAGUGACAGACACUCGGCAUCCGGAUGCUGCCCACUGGCGAGUGCUGAGCUCACGCUGCCCUUUUGGCAGACAGUGCAGGCGGCCUGCCCGGUGCUCAGGAAGUAGAUCGGGAGGAAGUGUCCUGAGUGAGCAACUCCUAAAUGCUUUUUCAGACAGAAGCCUGUGGCCUGUGGCCUGUGGGACUGGGGGCGGGAGGGGAGCGGGAAUGAGAGGAGGCUGGGGGCCGCUGUGGGGCGGGGGUCGGAAAUCUCAUCCCGCUCUUGGCAGGAGCGAGGCUGCCUCCUGGCUCCCGUCCUCUUGGCCACUUUCUUUGUCCCGGGGGUUUCGCUGACUCUCCAACGCCAAGCAAAUCUAAGUAAAAGCUGGGAUUUUAACAAUUUUUAAAGGAGAAGGAGACGUGCUUGUAGAAUGCCAGCGCCCCAUCUCAGCCCUCAUUGUGUGUGGAAAGAGGACAUCACUCCAGGUCCAUACCCCCCCCAGGAGUCACCGGUCACUGCUUUCUGAUUGUCCACCCAUUGUACGGCUCUGUACUCCUCCUCGGCCGUCUCUCCCGGAAAAGCGCUGAGAGUCUGCACAGUGCAGUUCCCCGUGCUGUGAAACAUCUGCAGGACUCUCCUCUUCAGAAACAACAGACUCCACCGUCAGCCAGGGCUGUCCUGUGAAGGCCAGUUGUAGUCACCACCCCUUAGCCACGACAGCAAUAAAGACCUGAGGGCAGACUACAACCGCAGCAGACAGGACAGCGUGCGCUCAGUGUGCCUAGACUUUCCUAAGCACGGUGCCGGCUCAUUGCCUCCUCACAACAACCUGUGAGGGGAAACCCAAUCUCAGUCCCCAUUUCGCAGAUGAGAAAGCUGAGGCAACAGGAUAUCAAAUGAGGUCACAGAGCUCAUAAGUGGCAGAACUGGACUCAAACCCAGGCAGUCUGGUUCCUCAACCACUGUCCUUCAGCCGCAGGCACCAGCGUGCUGAUGGACAGGAGUCAGCGACAGCUCUCCUGCAGACUGCUCCUAUUCCAGCCAUAACGAGCCAGAGCUAUGGGAUGCUAGCCAGCCAAGCCGGGGCGGUGCAGUGAUGGGCGAGAGCAGGGGUUCCAGAAUUAAAAGAUCCGGACUGGACUCCUGUGCUGCCCCCUUGGGAAGAAGGACCUGGUGCUGGCUGGAGCAGAGCCCCAGUCCUUCUGGUGCCCUCCAGCUGACCUGUGUGACCCGAGCCAGUCUCUGUCCCUGGCUGGGUUUCAGUUUCCUUGCAUGGAAGUGGACUAAGUGAGUCCAGUGAUUCAGUCUACACCACGCUCAUGGAAGAGUCACCACCUGCACAGAGAUGUGUCCACGUGCAGGUGCUGAAGGGGCCAGAGAACACAGACCUUGCCUUUGUGCGCCUUCCUUUUGUAAAUCCUUUAGAUCCAACAAGGCAGUUAUUAUCCUGUUUUUUAACUGGUGGAAGUGAUAUUUGAAUGCGGAGGGUGCUCAGUUCAGCUGUAGCUGAACAAAGUGGCCCCUGGAUCCUUGGCUCAAUUCUGUGCUGCCAAAUCUUCCCCCUCUGUGGAUAUCACGUGUCCGAGAACGGCCAAGUCCACCUCGAGUUCCUGACUCCCGGUCAUUGUAUCCACCUCCUGCCCGACAUCCCCAUCCGAAAGGCCCAGAGUCAGUGCUGCUGAGGUACUGGAACCGCCCCGAUGGCGCCUCCUUUCUUGCCCAAAGCGUGGUGCUGGGGUGGCAAGUGUGUCCCUGUGCACCGUGACUCAGGCCCCUCUGCUGACGCCAGCCAAGGCUCUGGCCAGGCAAGUAAUUCCUGGUGAGCCGGAAGCCUGCGGCUGAAGGUGAGGGCAGGCGGGUGGCGGAGAGGAGGGGCCUGGGGACACUAUGUCCCUCUCUUGGCCACCCCUGCCCCCACCGUGGGCUCCCACAUGAUGGCUGGCAUCUGCCCUGUGUGCAGUAGGCACUGCACAAUGCCCGCUGCUGGCUUAGCUGCUCCAACAUGACCGUGGGAUGGGGCGGCGAGGCAGAAGCCCGCCUGUGGGUCCAGCGCCUGAAGGAAAUGACUUCAGCCCCCCUCGCUCAGCAGCUUGCGCUGUGGCUACAAGAACCACAGCACUGAAACUGCCUCUUUAAAGAACUCUGUGUUAUAACACUCACUUCUGCAGUCUGUCUCAAGAACUUCCUGUUCUGCACCCUAAGUUAGGAGAGGGGAAGAGCCACUUCCUUGACAUGGUGGACAAGAGCAGAAGGGGUUUAGACAUCACCAGUGUAACCCUAGCCUGGCCCAUCCUCCCCUGCUGGCCACGCUCUUCCUUGGCGAUAACUUCUUCCCAAAGCUGCGGUCAGGAGAGAUGGGCGCCUUCGUGAGUUCCCAGGAACCAAGACCAUAUUACUUGUGUAGGAUGUUGUCCCCCAACAUCUGCUUGGCCUCCCAGGGUUGCUGACUGGGCGCAGGACCACCUGGCUGGUCCUUUCCCAGUCUCCCUGGCAGUGUGUCCAUGUUACCAAGUUCUGGCCCAUGAGAAGCUAGCAGCACUGACUGUGCCCUUAAAGGAAGGCCCAUGCCUUCCUCACCUCUCUUUCCCCGGCUGGAAUGUGGGAGCCAUCCUCAGCCAUGAGUACAAAGCAGACAUCCUUAGGGAAGAGCAUGGCUCGAAGGAGCCUGGGUCCCCAACACUGCUGCCACCGUGUCAUCCCUGUCCUGUUUGCACUGAAACGGUUACACCCACAGAGAAGUGAACCACCAUCUUGCCAAAGUCUUUCUCAUUUGGGGUCUGGUUACAGUGGCCACAUUUGUGUCCCCCACAGCCCCCCCUUUAUUUGUGUUUUUGCAGGUAUUUUGAGGUGACACCCCCCUGCCCCUUGGGCUAUCAGGGCAGUCACAACCUCUCUUUCUCUGAGAUGCCCUGCUUCACUCAGCCAGGAGGUGGCCUAGUGAGAUUGUGUCUGUAGGAUUAUCAAGUGGCCUAUGAUUGCCCGGCUCCUCUGGCUGAGUGGACUCAAGGCCAGCAUCCCAUCCAGGCAGCCAAUCAGAGUCUCUCUCCCCUGUGUCUGGAAGUGAGAUCACUGUUGCUACUGAGCCUGUGCUGAUUAUAGGAACCACGAUGCACAGGGAGGAGCAGAAGCGAGAGGCCAGGCAGCCCCAGGGAGGCAGAGGGAAGGAAGCUGCCUGGGUCGGCGUGGGCGGCCUGGUUUCUGCUUCCAGGCCCAUGUGUGGGCCUCCUGAUCAUGCUGCUCAUGGCUCCUGGGAGCGACCUUGCUACCCUGUAGUAAAUCCCCCCUUUUGGUUUUAGAUGCGUUAGGUUCAUUUCUGUCCUAUAACCAAAAGUGCCUGGGUGUCCUCUGAUCCUUGUAAAGAUCUGUGUAUCCUUACAAACUGGGACCCCACUCUGCAGCCCACCGCCCCUACACAGGAUGCUUCUUUGCAACCAGCGAAGCCUCAGAAGUGAACUAGAUGGAUGGAUAGAUUCAUCACCUGGUUGGCUAGCAGGCCAGUCUAUGGACUUUCCACUGGCUGAUGGGCAGGUCUCAUGGACUCACAGGACUGGGGUGAAGAGGACAAAAGGCACCAGGCAGUGUGGCCAUGGAGGUUUAGUGAUGCACCCAAAAACACAGGGUCCAGUGGAAACCUGAUGAGACCCUGGCCCUGGCCCCCCAGGGUUCCUCCUCACUUCCCUCACCUGGCUGGCCUGAUGGGGGGUCUCUGAGCCACCAGGAAUAGCUCCCACUUACUGAUGAGUAAAACCCCUGUGACAGCCAUGUCAAACCAGCCACUUCUGUGGCUCCUAGAAAAAUGCAAACAUAUCAUUUUCUCUUCUUUCUGGGUCAUUUUCUCUACUUCCUCACCAUUUUAAAGAGUCGAUGGCUUUUCUUCCACUGAAGGAGUAACGAGGGUCCUGCACCUCGAGCCAGGCGUGGGUGUGGCACUUCCCAAGGUGCGGUCUCGUUUAAACCCUGCAAGCCUUCAAGAACCCACCUUCCAGAAGAGGAAAGAGGUUGAGGGAGGAAAAGCAGCUAUAGGCUAGGGGCGGAGUCAAGGGAAUGGCAGGCUGGCUGGAAAGCCCGGGCCUUAAAUCCACAUCCUAGUCCUACUGAGUGUCCAUCCCUCCUCAUCUUUUUGCCUCUACUUUCCAGCCUUCCCCACGGGCACCUGCUCAGCUGAGCUGGCCUGCGGCCUGGGGGCAGGGGCGGGGCAGGGGGAAGACCACCUGGGUGCUCAAGGGGGGCUCGGUGGGUGGCAUUCUUCCCCUGCGACCCUACCCUGGGCUGUCCCUCUUCCCCAACAACCUCCUCUGCAGUCCCUGAGUCCCUGCCUCCCCCUGCUUCCUGCUGGCAGGCGGCUACCCUCCCUCCUCCAUUCCCUGACACUCUUUGGUGCCUGGAUCCCUGUGUGAAUCCGGCCUCUCUCUUACCCUCUGCAAAGCACGUCCUUGUUCAGAGUAGUCCCCGAGUUUGCUCACUUUUCCCUUAGAGAAGCCAAGGCCUUAGACCUCAGGGCUCAGCCUGCCCGCUUUUCGGGCCAAGUUUGUACCCAGAGCUGAGGAGCUCACGUUCUUCACAUGCCGGGUGGUCUGCGUGGUCGACCCCCUUAGAGCAACAUGCAGAUGAGGAAGCUGCCUGCCUUGGGGAGGCUUGGUCCUGGGCCUGAUGUCUUGGCCUCUUCCCUGCAGUGCACACACUUGUAUCCUUGAUGUUGCCAUGGAGGCCACACAGGGGCUCCAGGGAAAUUCUCUGAAAAAUCAAGGGUGAGCAGUUCUGUGAAUGUGCAAAAGGUGUGUGUGUGUGUCUCUGUGUGUAGGAAUCCUCUUUGGUUUUGCUGUGAUGAUAGAAAUAACAGUCUAUAGUUAUCUCUUCCUUUCUGAUAAAUGAGUGAUUCUCACAGGAGAGAUGCAGGCCUCAUUAGGAAGGUAUGUCGGCAUCUUAGGGGUCAAAGUGGUAAAUAGAGACUCGUAUGCUUAUCAAAAGGAACAUGAUUUUUUAUUUUUAUUUUUGGUCUUAACAUUUUAUUUGUUUAUUUGUUUAUUUAUUUAUUUUUCGGGUCUUUUUAGGGUCGCACCUGAGACAUAUGGAAGUUCCCAGGCUAGGGGUCAAAUUGGAGCUGCAGCCACCACCCUACAUCACAGCCACAGCAACGCCAGAUCUAAGCUGCAUCUGUGACCUACACCACAGCUCACAGCAGUGCAGGAUCCUUAACCCACUGAGGACGCCAGGGAUCAAUCCCGAGUCCUCAUGGAUAUUAGUUGGGUUCGUUACCUCUGAGCCGUGAUGGGAACUCCAGGAGUAUGAUUUUUUUAAAAGGACUGAUCCUGCCCUUGCAGAGGCUGCACCUAGUCUACUCUUUAAAGCCCAGCUCAACUGGGAAGCCCUCCCCAGCUCCACAGGAAAAAUUAAUCCCUCUUUCUCAGUCUUCCCAGAGCACUGGGUUUAUCCACCGGGAUAGUGUGUACUGUGGCACACAGCAGAGAGCUGCAUGUGAGACUCAGCCACGGGCUGCAUGCUCCUGGAACAUGGGAAAUGCCCCACAUGACUUCUGUCCCUGCUUUAGGAUCCACAGACAGGCAAGAGCAGGUCCUGUUGAUGGGCAGAGAGGUGGCGUGGAUGUAGGAAGUAUGCGGGAGGACGGGGCUGAAACAUGAGGACCAGUCCCCGGAGACGGGGUGUCAAUCACAGGGGACUCUGCCCAGGGUGAGGGGCUACAGAGAGCUUUUGUAAUGGGAAGGGCCAGAGGUGAGCUGAUUAGAAAAAGCCGAUGAUGAGUCCUGGGGGCAGAAGACAUAUCAAGAAAGUGGAGG